AUGCUUUUAUAUCUAAGUAUUUUUCCUCCCGCUAAGAUCAUCUCUCUUAGAAACGAUGUCAUGAAUUUUAAGCAACUUGAUCAUGAACAUGUUGCACAAGCUUGGGAGAGGAUGAAAUUAAUGAUACGUAAUUGCCCUACACAUGGUUUGUAUUUAUGGAUGAUUAUACAAUUUUUUUAUGCCGGAUUGAAUUUUGCUUCUAUAAAUCUUUUAGAUUCGGCCGCGGGAGGCACUUUUAUGGAAAUCACUUUAGGAGAAGUUACUAAACUCCUAGACAAUAUUAUGGUUAAUUAUUCUGAAUGGCACACUGAAAGAUCUACUAAUAAGAAAGUGCAUGCGAUCGAAGAAAUUAAUGUUUUGAGUGGAAAGAUGAAUGAACUUAUGAAAUUAUUUGCUAAUAAAAGUGUUUCUUAUGAUCCUAAUGAUAUGACUUUGUCUACUUUAAUUGAGAAUAAUAAUGAAUCUAUGGAUGUGAAUUUUGUUGGUAGGAAUAAUUUUGGUAACAACGCGUAUAGAGGAAAAUUUAAUCCCAGGCCAUAUCCUAGCAAUUCCUCUAAUAAUUAG
rnacentral:rRNA from 1 species